GUGCCAGCAGCCGCGGUAAUACGGAGGGAGCGAACGUUGUUCGGAUUCACUGGGCGUAAAGGGCGUGUAGGCGGCUUGGUAAGUCAGGGGUGAAAUCCCGCGGCUCAACCGCGGAGUUGCCUUUGAAACUGCCGAGCUUGAGGCCGUGAGAGGAGACUGGAAUUCCCAGUGUAGCGGUGAAAUGCAUAGAUAUUGGGAAGAACACCAGUGGCGAAGGCGAGUCUCUGGCACGGAUCUGACGCUGAGGCGCGAAAGCUAGGGGAGCAAACGGGAUUAGAAACCCGCGUAGUCC
rnacentral:rRNA from 1 species